rnacentral:rRNA from 1 species
UACGAAGGGGGCUAGCGUUGCUCGGAAUCACUGGGCGUAAAGCGCACGUAGGCGGCUUUUUAAGUCAGGGGUGAAAUCCUGGAGCUCAACUCCAGAACUGCCUUUGAUACUGAGAGGCUUGAGUCCGGGAGAGGUGAGUGGAACUGCGAGUGUAGAGGUGAAAUUCGUAGAUAUUCGGAAGAACACCAGUGGCGAAGGCGGCUCACUGGUCCGGUACUGACGCUGAUGUGCGAAAGCGUGGGGAGCAAACAGG